rnacentral:rRNA from 1 species
GACAGAGGAUGCAAGCGUUAUCCGGAAUGAUUGGGCGUAAAGCGUCUGUAGGUGGCUUUUUAAGUCUGCCGUCAAAUCCCAGGGCUUAACCCUGGACAGGCGGUGGAAACUACCAAGCUGGAGUACGGUAGGGGCAGAGGGAAUUUCCGGUGGAGCGGUGAAAUGCGUAGAGAUCGGAAAGAACACCAACAGCGAAAAGCACUCUGCUGGGCCGACACUGACACUGAGAGACGAAAGCUAGGGGAGCGAAUGGG